rnacentral:rRNA from 1 species
GGAGGAAAGUAGGGGAUCGCAAGACCUUGCGCUUUUGGAGCGGCCGAUGUCUGAUUAGCUAGUUGGUGAGGUAAAGGCUUACCAAGGCGUCGAUCAGUAGCUGGUCUGAGAGGACGACCAGCCACACUGGGACUGAGACACGGCCCAGACUCCUACGGGAGGCAGCAGUGGGGAAUUUUGGACAAUGGGGGAAACCCUGAUCCAGCCAUGCCGCGUGAGUGAAGAAGGCCUUCGGGUUGUAAAGCUCUUUCAGCCGGAACGAAACGGUCACGGUUAAUACCCGUGACUACUGACGGUACCGGAAGAAGAAGCACCGGCUAACUACGUGCCAGCAGCCGCGGUAAUACGUAGGGUGCGAGCGUUAAUCGGAAUUACUGGGCGUAAAGCGUGCGCAGGCGGUUUUGUAAGUCAGAUGUGAAAUCCCCGGGCUUAACCUGGGAACUGCGUUUGAAACUACAAGGCUAG